UACGUAGGUGGCAAGCGUUGUCCGGAUUUACUGGGCGUAAAGAGCGCGCAGGCGGUCGUUCAAGGCGCGUGUGAAAGCCCCCGGCUCAACUGGGGAGGGUCACGCGAUACUGAUCGACUCGAAGGCAGGAGAGGGUAGUGGAAUUCCCGGUGUAGUGGUGAAAUGCGUAGAUAUCGGGAGGAACACCAGUGGCGAAGGCGACUACCUGGCCUGUUCUUGACGCUGAGGCGCGAAAGCUAGGGGAGCAAACGGG
rnacentral:rRNA from 1 species